UGGGGAAUAUUGCACAAUGGGCGCAAGCCUGAUGCAGCCAUGCCGCGUGUGUGAAGAAGGCCUUCGGGUUGUAAAGCACUUUCAGCGAGGAGGAAGGGUAGUGUGUUAAUAGCACAUUGCAUUGACGUUACUCGCAGAAGAAGCACCGGCUAACUCCGUGCCAGCAGCCGCGGUAAUACGGAGGGUGCAAGCGUUAAUCGGAAUUACUGGGCGUAAAGCGCACGCAGGCGGUUUGUUAAGUCAGAUGUGAAAUCCCCGCGCUUAACGUGGGAACUGCAUUUGAAACUGGCAAGCUAGAGUCUGGUAGAGGGGGGUAGAAUUCCAGGUGUAGCGGUGAAAUGCGUAGAGAUCUGGAGGAAUACCGGUGGCGAAGGCGGCCCCCUGGACAAAGACUGACGCUCAGGUGCGAAAGCGUGGGGAGCAAACA
rnacentral:rRNA from 1 species